rnacentral:rRNA from 1 species
AUACAUCGGAACGUGUCCUGUUGUGGGGGAUAACCCAGCGGCAAGGUGAGCUAAUACCGCAUGAUCUAGGGAGCC